ACAUGCAGAGAACUUUCCUAGAGAUGAGUUGUGGCCUUCGGGAACUCUGACACAGGUGCUGCAUGGCUGCCGUCAGCUCGUGUCGUGAGAUGUUGGGUUAAGUCCCGUAACGAGCGCAACCCUUGUCCUUAGUUACCAGCACGUUAUGGUGGGCACUCUAAGGAGACUGCCGGUGACAAACCGGAGGAAGGUGGGGAUGACGUCAAGUCAUCAUGGCCCUUACGGCCUGGGCUGCACACGUGCUACAAUGGUCGGUACAAAGGGUUGCCAAGCCGCGAGGUGGAGCUAAUCCCAUAAAACCGAUCGUAGUCCGGAUCGCAGUCUGCAACUCGACUGCGUGAAGUCGGAAUCGCUAGUAAUCGUGAAUCAGAAUGUCACGGUGAAUACGUUCCCGGGCCUU
rnacentral:rRNA from 1 species